ensembl:lncRNA
UUCAGUUCCCUGUAAAGCUCUUUUAAAUGCAAGUGUAUGAAAUGAUUCUAUCCAAAUAAUGACUACAUCAAUAUUGUCACAUGUUUACAUCCAAACUUGUUUUUAUUAGUCACCGUAGUUUGAUGUAUUUCCUUUUUGUUGAACAGAUAACUCUGUAGUCUGGGGUUCAGCUCUUGGAGGGAUCAUGGUCGUCAUACUCAUCUGCCUUGCAGUCUGUGUUUGGUGGUUUCAGACUAAACAUCAAACUACUCAACAAACUGAGAGUCAAAGAGACGAUGAGCUGGUUCCUCAACUUCCAUCCAGCAUAGCAGCAGAAAACAUCCACUAUGGAGAGAUCGUCUUCUCCAAGCGCAGACCUGAACCGUCCUCUGACUCAGUGCAGGACAGUGGACAGCAGCAGGACACAGUGUAUGCACAGGUCAAUGUGUCCGUGAAGCAAACACCUCGAGACAGACUGCUGACAGGCCGGAGGAUCUCUAUGCUCAAGUGAAGAUAAAAUGAGUAUUGUCUUGAGAUCAUAUUGUCUUGGAUUCAUAAUAUAGAUUCAUUUGUUACGUAUGCAAGAUGUUUUAUGUCAGUUAAUGCAGAAAAGACACUGGAGCCUCGACAAGAACAUGUCAUCUUCACUGCCUACAGUUAAAUAAAGGGAAGUUAAAAAACCUCCACACCCUGCAGCUCAGAUAAUGUAAGAUUACAUUGAGUAGUUCAAUAGAUCUAUUAAAUCCUGAUAUAAACUGUAUGUUCACCAUUCUAAAUUAAUGCGCUAUAGCCUAAAAAUUAGUGGCACUGGCAUCAGCUGGUUGCAGAAGCCUGAAUAUUAGAAAUUAUCUUAUUUAAUUUACACAAUAAAUGUAUUUUGGUAUUAAAGUGAAUUGCAUAUAUUUGCAUGUAAGUACUGUAUAUACUGUAUCAUAUGGCUUAUUAAAUAUGAAAUUCAGCAUUUUAAUUAUCAUAUCUGGAUAUUUCUUUUAAACUUUGCUACUUGCUCUGCUGCAGCUGGCACUCUGUAAAGUUACAAGUAACUAAAGGUAUAGAAUCAAUGUAGUGGAGUAAAAAGUACAAUAUUUGUCUCCAAAAUGUAGUGGAGAGGAACUAUCAGGUAGCAGAAAAAUGGAAAUACUCAAGUAAAGUACUUGAGUUCAUGUAUUUAGUUUCAUUCCAUCACUGUUUAAAACUAGUCAAGAGCAUCUAGAAGACAUUGAACUUAUAAUUAUUUACAAUUCACAUCUGUAAUAGUUUAUGACUGUUGAUAUAGAGCAACAAACCAAAGAAAACAAAAUAACAAAACGUACUACAGAUGUGGUUUUCAUAGAAAGCGAGGACUGAUGAACAUUUUAAUCUAAAACACUCUUAAUAUAAAUGUCGUCUUUGUGCCUGGUGGGCAGAUGUAAGAGAACAAAUCCAGCUCUCUGUACAGUCGGGUGGUUUUCAGACACUUUUUCAUGGAAACAUUAUUCUUCUUUCCCUCGCUGGUGUUUCUUUGUGUGCAAAAAUAUAUAUUCAAAAGAGACAACAAAGAGAGUCUAAGAUAUCUAAGAUGAAGCACUUUUAUAACUCAUCCUGUCAUUUGUGUUUGUAUAUAGACGACUGAAGAGUUCAAAACAUUCAAAGCAUGUUGUGGUUGAUGACUUUCAGUGUGUAUAAGAGAAGUGGUGGAUGGUAAACUGUGGAUGAAGUGCAAAAUAAAAGACUUAGAGACUUAAAGUUUCUAUUUCAUCUUACUUGUGACUCGAUACAAACACGGAACAGUUUUUACAGCUGUGUGCUGCAAAAAGUGAACAAAUCUGACCCUUUUUUCAAAUCAUACUUCUGAUGUGCACCUAUUUGUUUGGUUGUAUUUUGAAAAUAUCACAACAGGAC